rnacentral:rRNA from 1 species
CCUACGGGAGGCAGCAGUGGGGAAUUUUGGACAAUGGGGGCAACCCUGAUCCAGCCAUCCCGCGUGUGCGAUGAAGGCCUUCGGGUUGUAAAGCACUUUUGGCAGGAAAGAAAUUGCAUGGGUUAAUACCCUGUGUAGAUGACGGUACCUGCAGAAUAAGCACCGGCUAACUACGUGCCAGCAGCCGCGGUAAUACGUAGGGUGCAAGCGUUAAUCGGAAUUACUGGGCGUAAAGCGUGCGCAGGCGGUUCGGAAAGAAAGAUGUGAAAUCCCAGGGCUUAACCUUGGAACUGCAUUUUUAACUGUCGAACUAGAGUGCGUCAGAGGGGGGUGGAAUUCCGCGUGUAGCAGUGAAAUGCGUAGAUAUGCGGAGGAACACCGAUGGCGAAGGCAGCCCCCUGGGAUGACACUGACGCUCAUGCACGAAAGCGUGGGGAGCAAACCAGGAUUAGAUMCCCCUGGUAGUCCACGCCCUAAAACGAUGUCAAACUAGCUGUUGGGGCCUUCGGGCCUUGGUAGCGCAGCUAAC